AACAUUUAACAACGGAUCACUUGGUUCCGGCAUCGAUGAAGAACGCAGCGAAAUGCGAUAACUAAUGUGAAUUGCAGAAUUCAGUGAAUCAUCGAGUCUUUGAACGCACAUUGCGCCCCCUGGUAUUCCGGGGGGCAUGCCUGUCCGAGCGUCAUUGCUGCCCUCAAGCACGGCUUGUGUGUUGGGCUCCGUCCCCCCGGGGACGGGCCCGAAAGGCAGCGGCGGCACCGAGUCCGGUCCUCGAGCGUAUGGGGCUUUGUCACCCGCUCUGUAGGCCCGGCCGGCGCCAGCCGACAACCCAUCAUCCUUUUCAGGUUGACCUCGGAUCAGGUAGGGAUACCCGCUGAACUUAAGCAUAUCAAUAAGCGGAGGCU
rnacentral:misc_RNA from 1 species